ACAUAUUUGUAGGGUGCAGAGUGGUAUUUCAAUACAUGCAUACAAUGUGUAAUGAUCAAAUCAGGGUAAUUAGCAUGUGCAUCACCUCAAAUAUUUAUCAUUUCUUUGCGUUGGGAAUAUUCAAAAUCCUCUCUUCUAGGUAUUUGAAAAUGUACAAUAAAUUAUUGCUAACUAUAGUUAUUAAGCAGUGCUAUAGAACACCAAAACUUUUUUGUUCCUUAACUGCAAUGAUUGUACGUAUUUGGCUGGCAAGAAAAAUGGCCGUGCCAGUAAACCAGCUUGUCAAGGGAGCAGGCAUCUUUACAGCCCUUACCAUUCCGUACAGGAGAGUAAUAUGCCUUUUAAAGUUUGGAAAAGAUAGAACUCCGAGAGGACUUUGAAAACUUGGCGAUAAAAGUGGGGCCCUUUGUGCAAAGCUAGUGACGGGCAAAUUAUGGGCGUGUUUGGGGGGGUUUCAAGAGAACGGGUAUGUAAAAAUGUUGAGUUCAGGACCACAGACCCCUCCGCCGGGAGAUACCACUGCGGAGACGGGGGACGCCUGAAAUGGUACGGACAUCCCUGGUACCUAUUACCGGGGAAAAAGGAUGCAGAGCCGGUGAUAAUACAUUCCUCCACCGAGGUGAUGUGAAAACACAGUAAGAAGGCAGUUGUCUGCAAGCCUUAUGGCUUUCUUUAUAGAGAACCCUCACCAGGAACCAAAUCAGCUGGCCCCUUCAUCUUGGACUUCUCCCAGCCUCCAGAACUAUGCCAAAUAAACUUCUGGUUUAACCCGUCCAGUCUGUGGCAUUUUAUUAUGGCAGCCCAAGCAGGUAAUCCAGGGACUUUUGCAGUUAGCCCUUUGCUGGAACCCCAAAGGGAGCCAGGGGCUGUGAGAAUUUUGUAACCAUGACUGCUUUCCAGGAGCACAGGACCCACUCAGAUAUAAAGUAACAGCAUCACUCCCCUUCCAGCUCACUCUGCCCCUCAUGGCUCCUACUCCUUCCCACUCUACCAAUCAUUAACAUGUAUUCUCUCCCACGGUGCCCCCAAUUUCCCGCCAUUCAGUCACACUGCCAUUUUCUUUCAUUCAUUCUGCUUCAUGGCCACCAUUCACGCAUCUUGUACCCCAUAUAAACACCUUUCUUUUUAUUGUGGUAAAAUACACAUAACAUGAAACUUACUAUUUUAACUAUUUUACAUUGCAC
rnacentral:lncRNA from 10 species